rnacentral:miRNA from 1 species
UGUGGUCUCUCUCUGCCCAGU